GGCCUCAUAGCUCAGUUGGUAGAGCGUGCGCUAUGUACAAAACCGUAGGCGGCGUCCAUUCGUGGGUUCGAUUCCUACCGAGGCUA
rnacentral:tRNA from 1 species